GCAAGGUUAACCGAAUAGGGGAGCCGAAGGGAAACCGAGUCUUAACUGGGCGUUAAGUUGCAGGGUAUAGACCCGAAACCCGGUGAUCUAGCCAUGGGCAGGUUGAAGGUUGGGUAACACUAACUGGAGGACCGAACCGACUAAUGUUGAAAAAUUAGCGGAUGACUUGUGGCUGGGGGUGAAAGGCCAAUCAAACCGGGAGAUAGCUGGUUCUCCCCGAAAGCUAUUUAGGUAGCGCCUCGUGAAUUCAUCUCCGGGGGUAGAGCACUGUUUCGGCAAGGGGGUCAUCCCGACUUACCAACCCGAUGCAAACUGCGAAUACCGGAGAAUGUUAUCACGGGAGACACACGGCGGGUGCUAACGUCCGUCGUGAAGAGGGAAACAACCCAGACCGCCAGCUAAGGUCCCAAAGUCAUGGUUAAGUGGGAAACGAUGUGGGAAGGCCCAGACAGCCAGGAUGUUGGCUUAGAAGCAGCCAUCAUUUAAAGAAAGCGUAAUAGCUCACUGGUCGAGUCGGCCUGCGCGGAAGAUGUAACGGGGCUAAACCAUGCACCGAAGCUGCGGCAGCGACGCUGAUGCGUUGUUGGGUAGGGGAGCGUUCUGUAAGCCUGUGAAGGUGUGCUGUGAGGCAUGCUGGAGGUAUCAGAAGUGCGAAUGCUGACAUAAGUAACGAUAAAGCGGGUGAAAAGCCCGCUCGCCGGAAGACCAAGGGUUCCUGUCCAACGUUAAUCGGGGCAGGGUGAGUCGACCCCUAAGGCGAGGCCGAAAGGCGUAGUCGAUGGGAAACAGGUUAAUAUUCCUGUACUUGGUGUUACUGCGAAGGGGGGACGGAGAAGGCUAUGUUGGCCGGGCGACGGUUGUCCCGGUUUAAGCGUGUAGGCUGGUUUUCCAGGCAAAUCCGGAAAACUAAGGCUGAGGCGUGAUGACGAGGCACUACGGUGCUGAAGCAACAAAUGCCCUGCUUCCAGGAAAAGCCUCUAAGCAUCAGGUAACAUCAAAUCGUACCCCAAACCGACACAGGUGGUCAGGUAGAGAAUACCAAGGCGCUUGAGAGAACUCGGGUGAAGGAACUAGGCAAAAUGGUGCCGUAACUUCGGGAGAAGGCACGCUGAUAUGUAGGUGAAGUCCCUCGCGGAUGGAGCUGAAAUCAGUCGAAGAUACCAGCUGGCUGCAACUGUUUAUUAAAAACACAGCACUGUGCAAACACGAAAGUGGACGUAUACGGUGUGACGCCUGCCCGGUGCCGGAAGGUUAAUUGAUGGGGUCAGCGCAAGCGAAGCUCUUGAUCGAAGCCCCGGUAAACGGCGGCCGUAACUAUAACGGUCCUAAGGUAGCGAAAUUCCUUGUCGGGUAAGUUCCGACCUGCACGAAUGGCGUAAUGAUGGCCAGGCUGUCUCCACCCGAGACUCAGUGAAAUUGAACUCGCUGUGAAGAUGCAGUGUACCCGCGGCAAGACGGAAAGACCCCGUGAACCUUUACUAUAGCUUGACACUGAACAUUGAGCCUUGAUGUGUAGGAUAGGUGGGAGGCUUUGAAGUGUGGACGCCAGUCUGCAUGGAGCCGACCUUGAAAUACCACCCUUUAAUGUUUGAUGUUCUAACGUUGACCCGUAAUCCGGGUUGCGGACAGUGUCUGGUGGGUAGUUUGACUGGGGCGGUCUCCUCCUAAAGAGUAACGGAGGAGCACGAAGGUUGGCUAAUCCUGGUCGGACAUCAGGAGGUUAGUGCAAUGGCAUAAGCCAGCUUGACUGCGAGCGUGACGGCGCGAGCAGGUGCGAAAGCAGGUCAUAGUGAUCCGGUGGUUCUGAAUGGAAGGGCCAUCGCUCAACGGAUAAAAGGUACUCCGGGGAUAACAGGCUGAUACCGCCCAAGAGUUCAUAUCGACGGCGGUGUUUGGCACCUCGAUGUCGGCUCAUCACAUCCUGGGGCUGAAGUAGGUCCCAAGGGUAUGGCUGUUCGCCAUUUAAAGUGGUACGCGAGCUGGGUUUAGAACGUCGUGAGACAGUUCGGUCCCUAUCUGCCGUGGGCGCUGGAGAACUGAGGGGGGCUGCUCCUAGUACGAGAGGACCGGAGUGGACGCAUCACUGGUGUUCGGGUUGUCAUGCCAAUGGCACUGCCCGGUAGCUAAAUGCGGAAGAGAUAAGUGCUGAAAG
rnacentral:rRNA from 1 species